rnacentral:rRNA from 1 species
UGGGGAAUAUUGGACAAUGGGCGAAAGCCUGAUCCAGCCAUGCCGCGUGUGUGAAGAAGGUCUUCGGAUUGUAAUGCACUUUAAGUUGGGAGGAAGGGCAGUAAGCGAAUACCUUGCUGUAUUGACGUUACCGCCAGAAUAAGCACCGGCUAACUCUGUGCCAGCAGCCGCGGUAAUCCAGAGGGUGCAAGCGUUAAUCGGAAUUACUGGGCGUAAAGCGCGCGUAGGUGGUUCGUUAAGUUGAAUGUGAAAGCCCCGGGCUCAACCUUCGAACAGCAUCCAAAACUGGCGAGCUGGAGUAGAGAGGAGGGUAGUGGAAUUUCCUGUGCAGCGGUGAAAGGCGUAUAUAAAGGAAGGAAAACCAGUGGCAAAGGCGACAACCUGGACUCAUACUUACAAUAAAGUGCGAAAGAGUGGGGAGCAAACAGG